CUUGGUUCCGUUCACUUCCAAAUUGAAGAGAGAAGGGGAGAAGAGAUCAAGAGGGGCAAGAAAGUGGUCGGAGAAGAGGAGACACAGCGAGGUUCUUGGAGGAGGAGGGUAUGGCAUUGAAGUUUCUGAACAAGAACGGAUGGCACACGGGGAGCCUCCGCAACAUCGAGAACGUGUGGAAGGCGGAGCAGAAGCACGAGGCCGAGCAGCGCAAGCUCGAGGAGCUCCGCAAGCAGAUCCAGGAUGAGCGCGAGAAUUCCGAGUUCCUUCUCCUCCAGGGACAGGCUGGACUUGUUCCGUACGCACCCGUUCCACAUCUUUGGUUUCUUGGUGCUACGGUUAGGGUUUCGCUUGAUCGGUUUGAGAAAAAGAUUUUUCCCCUUCCCGUAUUUGGUUUCUUGGUGUUACGAUUAGGUGUUUCCUUGAUUUGUUGAUGAAAAGAGACCGUUUCUUGGAUUCUUGUUUUCCGAUCUUGUAUUAUUGGUUGGGUUUUGGAUCGGAUUAGGAGACAGAAAAGGUUGGAUUUCCUCUAGGAGUCAGGGUUGACGGUGGGGAAGGGGAGCUCCGAUGGUUCCAAGGCGCUUCAAGGACUACCAGCGGUGGCUUCCACUACCUCAGCAUCCGAGGCUAGUUCCUCCAAGCAUCCUUGUUGGAGACUGUUUUUAUUUGGAUGACCAUGCAUACAUUGAAGGUAAUAUGCCUUAUGUGAAAGAACGUUCAUAUAUUAUAUAUACUACAUACAUACAUACAUACAUACAUAUAUACAUAUAUACAUAUGUAUGUAUGUAUGUAUGUAAGUAUGUAUAUGUACGUAUGCCAUAUGAUUUCAUUUUGGGUCUGUGUCUUUUGUUUACAACCUCUUUGCAAGUAAACAUUCAUAUGAUAGAGCGAGUAUUUCUUGAAUCUUUGCAUUUUUCAUAGAUUUCAAGUACACGUGGAAUGAAUCUUUUGCCGAAGACUUAUGCUCAUAUGAAGCUUUUGUUUGAUGUUUCUAUAUCCUAACUGGUAGAAGCAAUGCACCAUUGGUUUCUGAUAAAUGGAACCGAUCCUAUGCCACCAUGUUUUACCAAAUGGAACGUAUUUUUUUAUUUGUUGGAGUUGUAUUGUACAUCAUCUAUUACUUAUUAUUGCUGCAGAUUUGUUGUUUCGCGUCAUUAAAGCUCACUUUUGUUUGUUUGCCUCCAGCACUUCUUGAUUGAUUUAGUGUAAUAUGCCUAAUGUAGUUUCUUAAAGAAGAAUUUAUGGCUUAUGUGUGUAGGUAAUCUUCCAUUAAUAUUCAUUGUUCUCAGCUCACUUCUGUCAUCAUAGUUACUUGGAUGUUGCCUUGCUAUUACAUAUUUUCUUCAGUACUCUAGGUUUAUUGUCUCAUAGUUCCUAAGACGUAUCAUGUGACAAGUUCCCAUAAUGUGUCAAGACUGCUGUUCAUGGAGCUCUAUUUGAGGAUAAGCCACGGUCAGCAAAUGAUGCCUGGAGGAAACUCCAUUCUGCCCGUCUGCUUCUUAUCCGUCAGCAUGAGCAGGAGGCACUUGCUCGAAUAAGGAAUAAUCCCGUCAAGAUGACCAUGAGUUUUCUGCUCAGAUUUUUUUAUUGGAUGCUAGAAUUUCCAUUACAAAUUAUUCUAUUAGCAUUGAUACUAUUACAAAUACGAAAAUUUUCUAACUGAAUUAGAAUAGUACACGAAACUAAACCAGCCCUCUAAAUUCUCUAAGUAAUAUGCUUAUUUUCUAUUAAAUCACACAUUUUUUUUGGCA